rnacentral:rRNA from 1 species
GUCUACCCCAUAUCCCCUGAACACACCCAGUCUUGUCUGAUCUCAGAAGCUCAUCAGGGUUGGGCCUGGCUAGUACUUGGAUAGGAGAAAUAUCAAGCCUUUGACU